CUUACGGGAGGCUGCAGUAGGGAAUAUUGGGCAAUGGAGGCAACUCUGACCCAGCCAUGCCGCGUGCAGGAUGACGGCCCUCUGGGUUGUAAACUGCUUUUAUACGGGAAGAAAAAAUACUACGUGUAGUAUACUGACGGUACCGUAAGAAUAAGGAUCGGCUAACUCCGUGCCAGCAGCCGCGGUAAUACGGAGGAUCCAAGCGUUGUCCGGAUUUAUUGGGUUUUAAGGGUGCGUUUACGUCAUUGUAGAAAGCCUGCAGCUUAACUGUAGAAUUGCCAUUGAAACUGAAAAUCUUGAAUUUGGUUAAAGUAGGCGGAAUGUAUCAUGUAGCGGUGAAAUGCUUAGAUAUGAUACAGAACACCGAUAGCGAAGGCAGCUUGCUGAACCAAUAUUGACGCUGAGGCACGAAAGCGUGGGGAGCGAACAGGAUUAGAUACCCCGGUAGUC
rnacentral:rRNA from 1 species